rnacentral:sRNA from 1 species
ACUGAUGGUGCAUUCUCUAACUUGUCCCCACCCAUGCUUUCUUCUGGUCCCUGCCUCGGAGCCUCAGUUUCCCCAUCUGCAAACUCCGGACCCUGGAGGCGCUGUUUGGAAUGUGAGAUGGGCGUGCAGACCUGGGCCAGAGAGAGAGCCAAGGAAGUCCACAGUGGAGAGAGGGCUGUGCUGGGGGUUCCAGGAAGACUUCCUGGAGGAGGGGAUCUUGGAGCUAGGCCUUGAAGACGAGUUUGUCAAAUGAGGAAGGGCAUCCGAAGCCGAGGGAACGGUACAAGGGAACGCUGGGGAGGGGAGAGAAUCUGGAGAGUUCCGGAAAAAGCAAGUAGGACUCUUUCCAGAAGUUCGGGCAAGAUUUUCCCUGGAUCAGGGCGUGGGUUCUCCAGUACUCGUCCCUCCCGGUCACCGAGAUGCUCUGAGUUUCCGGUCUGAACCUGAACUAAAGAGGUGUAGUCCCUCCUUUCUUGAACGGGAAAACUGAACGCACAUAGGUCCUUGCCACGCCUAAGGCUGCGGAGUGAGCAGAUGGAAAAUGCGGGACUCAAAACCU